rnacentral:misc_RNA from 1 species
AGAAUAGUUCUUGUUUUGUUGCCCUCCUUGUGAGACUUUUUAUUAUUUACAACUACUAUUAUUAUCAUAAACUAUACCUACUACUACAUCAUAGACUCACACACAACACUACAAGAAAAAAAAUAUCAAUAAUUUCCACACAAAAGCAACAGCAGUAGUAGAUCAACAAUCCCCCUAACCAUACAUACAAAGGACAACUAACAAAGACUUUCAUCUAUGAAUCCCUCAAGGAGCGACACAGCAUUUAUCACAUUCUUCACAAGUAUUUUGUGAUUUGAUUAUCAUCCACGGAGAAGGGUUGUCAUCUCUAUGACUGACUUGCACCCUACACAAACACCACCAGGAAGUUGGAAGUAUUAUUGGGAAGAAAGGAGAAAUUGUCAAAAGAUUCCGUGAUGAAAGUGGAGCCAAGAUCAACAUUAGUGAUGGAUCUUGUCCUGAGCGGAUUGUUACAGUUGCGGGUCAUACAGAAGCCAUAUACAAAGCAUUUGCACUUAUAUGUAAUAAAUUUGAAGAGGAUUUGGCUAACUUGGUAUCCCCAAAUACUGUGCCUCGUCCCCCCAUCACAUUUCGUCUAAUCGUUCCAGCCUCACAAUGUGGAUCCCUCAUCGGUAAAGGAGGAUCAAAAAUUAAAGAAAUUCGUGAAAUAUCCGGUGCCUCUGUACAAGUCGCGUCCGAAAUGUUACCAAAUUCUACUGAGCGUGCUGUAACCAUUUCUGGAGGAGCAGACUCCAUCACUCAAUGUGUAUAUCAUAUUUGUAACGUCAUGUCUGAGUCACCUCCAAAAGGAAUCACAGUACCAUAUCGACCCAUAAAACCCGUAACAGUCGCAGCUGGAUUAGGAGCAGCAUCUGCAGCCUUGCAAGUAGGGCAAGCAACAUUUCUACCCACAACCGCAGGACAAAACACAGGAGCCCUUAAUCCAGCCGCACUUGUUCCAGUUACGCAGUCUUCAGAUAAAGCGGCCACAAUCCCACAGAACGUUAUGGAAAGCUAUUGUCCAACAAAUUCUCCAUCCUCCAGCAUGAGCAAUAGUCAACAAAUACUUUCAGUGCCUUCCAAUAUUCUCCCAGUGAUUGAUCAUCAGCAACAAGUACAAAUUCAACAGCAGCAGCAACAACAGGUUCAGCAACAACAACAACUACAUCAGCAACAACAACACCAUCAGCAGACAAGAGUACAAUUCUUUCCUCCCUCUUCUUGUAAUUCCUCGUCCUCCAGCAGUCCUUCACUCAUUCUUAACAAUCACAAUAACCAUCAUCAUCACACUAACGCCCAUAAUACAAAUGUCACAAAUAACAAUUAUCUUGGCGGCCCUUACCCGACUGAGGGCUUAUUUUGGCCAAUUCUUCCGCCGGCAUAUCCUAGUCACCACCUUCCACCAGGAGAUUAUUAUUUCAACAAGAAUCCCUUUAAUAUAAAUAACACACUCCUUUGUCCAAACAUUCUUUUAACUCCAACACCAGAACGACAAAAUCUGGACGCUGGUAAAUUAGGUUCCAUUCCACUCAGUGGACUUUCCACUCUCAAUGGUCUCGCUGGAUUUACUAACGGAGCAAUUAAUCCAGCAGCCUUGGCCGCAUUAGCAAGUCAGCAACAGCAGCAACAACAAAAUCGUGCACCAACAGCGGCCGCAGCAGCAGCUCAACAACAGACUCAUGAAAUGACUGUGCCCAAUGAAUUGAUUGGAUGUAUUAUAGGGAAAGGAGGAUCUAAAAUAGCUGAAAUUAGGCAACUUAGUGGAGCAAUGAUACGAAUAUCAAAUUGCGAGGAACGCGAGAGUGGAAGUAAUAUGGAUAGAACCAUAACCAUAACCGGAAAUGCAGAAUCUGUAGCUCUUGCGCAGUACCUGAUCAACAUGAGCAUGGAUCUACAAAAAGCUAACCUCCUAGAAGCACAGACAAAGGCAUUCCCGAACGCUACUACUACUACUACCCUUCUCAACCCCAACCCCUUAUUUCCACAUUCGUAUUUUCUUGCUCCAACUCUUAAGCCUGAUAUUAUUAGUCACAAUCCUCAUUAUCCAUUGGGCCUCGAUUUGGCCAACACUCUUACUGCAGCCACAAUGAGCUCUAGAAAUAAUUCUUCUUCCUCCACCUAUCAAGUAAUACCAAAAUUGAAAUCCCCAUCUUGUAAUAAUAGCCACCAUCAUCAACAAAUCGGCAACAACGGGGGUCACUCAGCGGCAGCAGCGGCGGGACUGCUUACAGCCUUAACCCAAACUGGUGGUGCCAUAAGAAUUCGCUCAGAUAAAUUUACUCCCUACUAAAUCCUUGCUCUGAAAACGUUCAUUCAAAACAAAUUUUAACCUCGAAAAUCUCUUCAAUUAAAUUACUAAAUAGCAACCAAAGAAUGUUGUGUUGCUGUUGUUGUUGUUGUUUAUGAAUCAGUAAUAAUGAGAAUAUCCAUGGAGACUGCGUCAAUGGGUGGAAUGGCUGGGUUUCAAUAUAUAGCGCCUAAUCAUAUUAUCAAGACACAAAUCCAUUAGUCAGUCAACCAAAAGUCAUUUAUGAAAUAUUAAAUCAAUUCAAAUACAUGGAUGUUGAACCUCUACAUAUUUCAAAAUCCAAAAGAUUAUAACGCCUAUCGAUUGUGUGAAAUCUUCCAAUUAGCUUAUGUCUUUUUAUCAUAAAAAAAUAAUCAUCUUUGAUUGAUUAUACAAUUAAUUAAACAUAUUAUUAUUAUUAAAUGUAUCAAUAUUUACAUUAUAAAAUAUUAUAUAAAUAUUUUAUGAAGACAAGAAAUCAAAAAACAAACAACAACAUUGAGUGUUAGAGCUCUUUCAUAUUACUACUACUUACAUAUUAUAAUCAUCUUAGCAUAUCAAAAAACAAAACAAUAUCAAAACAUAAUUAGAUAAUUUUGUAAGGAAUCUUCCUUUAUCUCUUAUUCUUACACAUUUAGUAAAAAUGUUGAUAAUUUUAAGAUUACUCUACUUAAGUGUUUUUUAAGUCUACGUUAUAUAUAUUUUCGUAUAUUUUAGAAUCAAGCUUUUUAUAUAUAUUAAUAAGUAUAUAUAUAUAUAUAUAUAUAUCAACAACAUAUCUCUCUUAUCAUUGAUUUUUUUUUUUUUAAUACUUACUUUUUUGUUAUACUUUUUUCUAAAAACAAAAAAUAUUACAAAUAAAAAGUAAUAUAUUCAGAGAAUGCAUACAUAUCAAUUACAUAUCUAAAUAACACAAAAUGCAACCCUGGACCCACCUACCCACCCCCACUUGUUGAUGAUCCCUGAUUUAUUUAUUAGUAUCAUACUCAAAAAUAAUUUUAAAACAUAUCUUUUCUGAGUGAUUUUUUUAACGCCUAUGCUCAUAUCAAAUAAACCAAAAAAUUGCCAAAGUACUCAUAAGAAAUAUUAAAAUUUAGAGUCAAUUUACCAAAAAACAAAUAAAACCAUAAGAUUAUUAUCAAAUCAAGCCUGGCUUUUUAAAAGAAUAAGGGAAUAAAAUGAUUCUCGUGACAUAUAACUAAACGUAGGUAGUUUUUAUUUUAUAGGUGUUUUAUUCAAAUAGACUUUUGAUUUUUUUCUAAUUUUUAAGUGCCAAGAUAAAUACAUACAGUAUUGGAAAAAAAACAUAUUAUAUUUCAUUUUAUUGUAUAUAAAUUUAUAUCAUCACAAAUCUCAUUGUUAAUAUAUAUAUAUUUAGUUAUAUAUAUGUUUAUAUUUAUAUUUAAAAAGUGCCAAAAAACAAACUUAUCAAAAAUAAUAAUUUAUUAAUAACUUCACAAUAUAAGAUACAUACAUAUUAUACCUAAUAUUAUAACUGCUCAGAUGCGCAAUAAAAUCAUCACAUAGUUAAAUGAAAUGAGUGAAGAGUCAAUACAAAAUUGGUUUUUCCAAAUAAUCUUUAUAAUAUUACGAUAAUAA